GAUGAACGCUGGCUACAGGCUUAACACAUGCGAGUCGAGGGGAAACGACGGGGAAGCUUGCUUCCCCGGGCGUCGACCGGCGCACGGGUGAGUAACGCGUAUCCAACCUGCCUCUGACUGAGGGAUAACCCGUCGAAAGUCGGCCUAAUACCUCAUGGCAUCGUCUGCGGGCAUCCAACGACGAUUAAAGAUUUCAUCGGUCAGGGAUGGGGAUGCGUCUGAUUAGCUUGUUGGCGGGGUAACGGCCCACCAAGGCUACGAUCAGUAGGGGUUCUGAGAGGAAGGUCCCCCACAUUGGAACUGAGACACGGUCCAAACUCCUACGGGAGGCAGCAGUGAGGAAUAUUGGUCAAUGGGCGGGAGCCUGAACCAGCCAAGUAGCGUGCAGGAGGACGGCCCUAUGGGUUGUAAACUGCUUUUAUGCGGGGAUAAAGUGAGGGACGUGUCCUUCAUUGCAGGUACCGCAUGAAUAAGGACCGGCUAAUUCCGUG
rnacentral:rRNA from 1 species